GCACUGCUGAGGAGUCCCAUAAUAGGACGAAACAGCCGUUCAAUGC
rnacentral:hammerhead_ribozyme from 1 species